AACGUAGGAGACAAACGUUAUCCGGAGUUACUGGGCGUAAAGGGCGUGUAGGCGGUUCGUUAAGUCUGGCGUGAAAUUUUUCGGCUUAACCGGGAAAGGUCGUCGGAUACUGCAGAACUAGAGGACGGUAGAGGCGUGUGGAAUUCCGGGUGUAGUGGUGAAAUGCGUAGAGAUCCGGAGGAACACCAGUGGCGAAGGCGACACGCUGGGCCGUACCUGACACUGAUGCGCGACAGCAUGGGGAGCAAACAGG
rnacentral:rRNA from 1 species